AGCGGCGGACGGGUGAGUAACGCGUGGGUAACCUGCCUCAUACAGGGGGAUAACAGUUAGAAAUGACUGCUAAUACCGCAUAAGACCACAGCACCGCAUGGUGCGGGGGUAAAAACUCCGGUGGUAUGAGAUGGACCCGCGUCUGAUUAGCUAGUUGGUAAGGUAACGGCUUACCAAGGCGACGAUCGGUAGCCGACCUGAGAGGGUGACCGGCCACAUUGGGACUGAGACACGGCCCAA
rnacentral:rRNA from 1 species